rnacentral:tRNA from 1 species
UGGGCGUUAGCUCAGUUGGUAGAGCAGCGGACUCUUAAUCCGUAGGUCGAGUGUUCGAGUCACUCACGCCCCACCA